CGCAGCCGCGGUAAUUCCAGCUCCAAUAGCGCAUAUUAAAGUUGUUGCAGUUAAAAAGCUCGUAGUUGAAUUUCGGGAUCAAAGAAUCGGUCAUGCCUUGGUAUGUACUGGUUUUAUUGGUUCUCACCUUCUAAAGAACCAUAAUGUCAUUUAUUUGAUGUUAUGGGGAAUUAGGACUGUUACCUUGAAAAAAUUAGAGUGUUUAAAGCAGGCUUACGCUUGAAUACAUUAGCAUGGAAUAAUGAAAUAGGACAUCGCAUUCUAUUUUGUUGGUUUCUAGGAUCGAUGUAAUGAUUAAUAGGGAUAGUUGGGGGCAUUAGUAUUCAAUUGUCAGAGGUGAAAUUCUUGGAUUUAUUGAAGACUAACUACUGCGAAAGCAUUUGCCAAGGAUGUUUUCAUUAAUCAAGAACGAAAGUUAGGGGAUCGAAGACGAUCAGAUACCGUCGUAGUCUUAACCAUAAACUAUGCCGACUAGGGAUCGGAUGAUGUUGAUUUUUUAAAUGACUCA
rnacentral:sRNA from 1 species